rnacentral:rRNA from 1 species
AUUGAACGCUGGCGGCAGGCCUAACACAUGCAAGUCGAACGGUAACAGGGAUCAGCUUGCUGAUUCGCUGACGAGUGGCGGACGGGUGAGUAAUGUCUGGGAAACUGCCUGAUGGAGGGGGAUAACUACUGGAAACCGUAGCUAAUACCGCAUAACGUCGCAAGCCCAAAGAGGGGGACCUUCGGGUCUCUUGCCAUCGGAUGUGCCCAGAUGGGAUUAGCUAGUAGGUGGGGUAACGGCUCACCUAGGCGACGAUCCCUAGCUGGUCUGAGAGGAUGACCAGCCACACUGGAACUGAGACACGGUCCAGACUCCUACGGGAGGCAGCAGUGGGGAAUAUUGCACAAUGGGCGCAAGCCUGAUGCAGCCAUGCCGCGUGUAUGAAGAAGGCCUUCGGGUUGUAAAGUACUUUCAGCGGGGAGGAAGGGAGUAAAGUUAAUACCUUUGCUCAUUGACGUUACCCGCAGAAGAAGCACCGGCUAACUCCGUG